rnacentral:rRNA from 1 species
UACGUAGGGAGCAAGCGUUGUCCGGAAUCAUUGGGCGUAAAGCGCGCGUAGGCGGCCCUGUAAGUCCGCUGUGAAAGUCAAAGGCUCAACCUUUGAAUGCCGGUGGAUACUGCAGGGCUAGAGUCCGGAAGAGGCAAGUGGAAUUCCUGGUGUAGCGGUGGAAUGCGCAGAUAUCAGGAGGAACACCGAUGGCGAAGGCAGGUCUCUGGGCAUUAACUGACGCUGAGGAGCGAAAGCGUGGGGAGCGAACAGG